rnacentral:rRNA from 1 species
GAUGAACGCUGGCGGCGUGCCUAAUACAUGCAAGUCGAACGCAUAGCGAAAGGUGCUUGCACCUUUCAAGUGAGUGGCGAACGGGUGAGUAACACGUGGACAACCUGCCUCAAGGCUGGGGAUAACAUUUGGAAACAGAUGCUAAUACCGAAUAAAACUUAGUGUCGCAUGACACAAAGUUAAAAGGCGCUUCGGCGUCACCUAGAGAUGGAUCCGCGGUGCAUUAGUUAGUCGGUGGGGUAAAGGCCUACCAAGACAAUGAUGCAUAGCCGAGUUGAGAGACUGAUCGGCCACAUUGGGACUGAGACACGGCCCAAACUCCUACGGGAGGCUGCAGUAGGGAAUCUUCCACAAUGGGCGAAAGCCUGAUGGAGCAACGCCGCGUGUGUGAUGAAGGCUUUCGGGUCGUAAAGCACUGUUGUAUGGGAAGAACAGCUAGAAUAGGAAAUGAUUUUAGUUUGACGGUACCAUACCAGAAAGGGACGGCUAAAUACGUG